UACGAAGGGUGCAAGCGUUGCUCGGAAUUAUUGGGCGUAAAGGGUAGGUAGGUGGUAAUAAAAGUCUGGGGUGAAAUCCCUGAGCUCAACUCAGGACGUGCCUUGGAAACUUUAUUACUAGAGUGCUGGAGAGGUCCGCAGAAUUCCCGGUGUAGCGGUGAAAUGCGUAGAUAUCUGGAGGAAUACCGGUGGCGAAGGCGGCAUCCUGGACCGACAUUGACGCUGAGGAGCGAAAGCUAGGGGAGCAAACGGG
rnacentral:rRNA from 1 species